AGCUUUGCUGAUAUUAUGGGGAAAUAUACUGCAUUCAAAACACAUGUAGUUUCUUUUAAGUCAUAAAUAGAUAACUAGAGUGUAUUACUUUACGGAGUAUCUGAAGAAGUCUGAUUCCUAAGCAAAACCAGAACUUUGAUGAUCAAUUUUACUUUCUGUGGUUAGCAGCCUAUUUUUGCUGUGAUAAGUGAAGUCUGUUAGUAAUAAAAAUGAAACCUAGUAUCAGUACUGUCAUAAUGGAACCCCAAAGUGAAAUUAGUUAGUGAUAUUAGAAAGUAUCGCUUGUAUUUGUGCUUCAAACCUCAAUUUAUUUUAUUUUCCUGUACUCAAAAACAACAUUAAAGAGCAUGCAUGGAUCAUGUUACUGACAUUCAUGGCCUUGAUUAUAACGUGAAUCAUUCAUAUACAUGCUUUUGGUAGAACAUAAAAUACGUGACGCAGAACAGCAAGGAUACUGGAGGAAUGAAGAUCAUUUGCCUGUUCCGAAUCCUGACAGAGUUCAGUCUGCUCAGAAUCCUGAUGAGCACAUCUGUGCUUUCUAAGAAAUUCAAUUUGAAGGAAAAUGAGAAAAGCGUUUAAUUAUACUUAUUACUGUGAUAAAUAGUAAAAAUGCAGCUCUGUUUGCUGCUUAAGAAUUUCUGUGUUCAUCUCAAACAAUAGUUAAAGUCUUCAAAUUAAAGUGUCCAUCUUGCAGGGAUACUUCUUGUAUUUGGUCUGUGGCAGCAAAAACUUUGAAUAUGUGAAAACUGAGUAUUUUUUGUACCUUCAAUCAAACUGUGUGAGAAACAUUUCAAUUAUUAGGAACAGCUAUAUUAAAAAUGUGAAUAGCAUACAGAGACUCAAAUGAUUUUUGCUUAGUUAACCCCCUAGACAGGAAGGCUUAGCUAAGAAAGUAAGAGAAGUAGCAGCCCUUCACUUUUGAAAACCUGUUUUGUUAUCCUGAUCUAGAAUCAAGGAGCUCCAGUAUAACUUUCCUGUUUUGUACUGCACAUGAAUCCCCUAGACUGGACCUGGACUUGGUUUAAGGAGUUUUUUAAGUAGGCAUCCACUUAAGUUAUUUGAGAAUUGACAUAGAAGAAGACCACUGAAGUCUCAAAACCUUUAAAAUACAAAGCAGUCCAGACAAAGAUUGUUGUCAAUUUGAUGUAUGUAAUUUUGAGAGUCUUAUUUACCAACAGUAAUUGACUGCAUUAUAAGUUUGUCUGCUACAGGCAAAGUAUGCCCUAUGUUAGAAUUCCCACAGAAUUGUGGAACAAGAAUAUAAUUACAUACCAUUGCUCCUUUACCAUUGCUCCUAUUAAUAUAGUUCAGAAGAAAACCAGUUUUCCUCAGAGAAGCUUUUGGAAGAACAUGUCUAGCAAAUAACUUCAGAACAUUUAAUUCACACUUUUUAGUUUUUCUCAUGAAAAUCAAAGUAGUAGCUUAUGAUCCAAGAUGUUUCAUGAAGAGAGAAUGCUGUGAAUUGUGAAUGAUGAAUAGAACAAAUUGAGACAAAUGUGAAACUACUAAGGUUUCUUUUGCUUACAAUCAAAAUCUAAGCUUGUCCACUCCUCACAACCUGCUUUUCAACUUGUGCAUAAAGUCUCUUAAUUUUAGUAAUUUUCACAUUUAUAGUUUGAAGUUAUAAAAUAUUAACUAUAUUUUCAACAUUCCCAUUUGAUAUUUUAUUCAUCAGUUAGUAUUUUUUUUUUUUGGACUAAAGAAAAGAUUUCGUUAACCAGAGGGUACUUAUUAAGAAGAACAAUGUAAUUUCUCCACGUGCCUUCGGUGGCCCAAUGCAGCGAUUAAGAACAUCAACUCCCAGCAAUGUGUCUAUUAUCUACAUUGGAUAAUAUGAUACUCAGGAAAAAAAAAAAAGAUGGCUAAUAGUAUAGAAAGCUCUAACUGCCAUUUCAAAGGUGCCAAUGAAUGUGUCACUUCAUAAUUUUGAAAAUAUUUCUCAUGGAUUAAAUAAGGAUAUUUAGAAACAGUAAGAAUUACUAAGGGGCAAUUGAGAAGAAAAAGAAUACAUCCUGUUUGAUUGAGUGAGGUUAACAACCAUACACGAUUAAACUGGAAUGAUGUGAUAUUAUUUAGGUUAGUAGGAGAAUGUAUAAUUGGAAGGUGUGAUAGAAUUGGGAAAAGAUGGCGUGCAGUUUUUUGAGUUAUUCUGUCUUAACAGAUUUAAUAAUAUUUUAAGGAGAUAGCAAUCCGCUUGCUUAGCACAAUCAAAAUUACACUGAACCAAGUGCUAGAAACUGUACUUCAGAAAGACAGUCUGAUGGCCAAUUUUGAGGAGUAAGUAAGAGAAGGUCAAAAUUAAGAAAAUAUUUUCUCUGGUGUAUUAGACUUUGUGGGUAGUUUUGGGCUCUCCAUACUAAUUUUGUGAUACACAGGAACAGUAAUAAGGAUGCUUUCUUAAUGUAGUUUGCGUAUGUGUUAACAUAUGUAGCCUAGCCUUCCAUCUAAGUUGGCCAAAGCACAGAUAAUUACUUUAAUUGCUUAAUUUUUAUGAAGCACGUGAAUAACUGUGCUGGGGUGCUUUUGGCUUCUUCUUGAGUGCUUGAGUAGAUGGAGUUCUUUGUUGAUGUGUAUGUGCCCUGUGAGUACAAGGACAAUUUGGAUGAGCAGAGUCUAAUUAUUAGACGGUAUCAGUGGAUUACUUGAAGCACCCUCAUGUUCUCUGUCCUCAGGGCAUUAAACAGUGCUGUGAGUACAAACAUUCAUGAUUUCAUUAUUUCCAUCAUACCACAAAGGUGGAAAUAGUGCAGUAUAAGUACUGUGUGAAUCAUUUAACUUUUAUGUGUAGUACUGUAAUUAAUUUCAUGCAGGAAAUUAGGUCUCCUACUGACUAUUAAGAAAUAUGGUUUGAAUUAAUAUACCAGAUAUGUCUCCUUCUAUAGGGAUAAGAGAGUCAUGAGUUACUGGGGUUUAAUAUUUUCCCUAGCACGAUUCUUCAGAUCCUAUUUAUGACAAGAGGAAACAGACAGUGGGGGAAGGAGGGAGGGGAUUUCCCUAGGGAAAAAAAAAAAAAAAAAGAUCAGUUUAUUUCUAAAUUCCAUGAAUAAAGCUACAAUUAUGCUUUAAGACAGUAUCUCAUAUUAAGUGUCUUAAAAGCUGUGAUUCUGGGCUUCUAGGCCACACUCGUGGCCAUGGCCCACCGACAGGGAAGUCGGCUGGAGGCGUGCAGUUCCAGCACAAGCACAUGCACAUAGCGAGGGAUGAAAGAGUCAUUAGCAACAUGGUGGCUCUUUGAUUCAUGUAUUUUAAAGUCCAGGGCCUGAAAAGAACUAUUUUAUUUCCUGGAUGCUCCCUGCAGGGACCUUGAUAGUGACUGGCUUUGUGUUAAGUGCCUUAUGUAUUUAGAGCCCUGAUAGCAGCGAUUGCCUCUGUAGUAUCUGUGCUGUCCAUAGCGCUGUGUGACUUGCUCUUGCGCCUUCUCUAUCCCUUACUCCCUCUAAAAAGCUGUCCAGCCAGUCAGAAACAACAAAAACCAGAAACAGAUACCCUUUUACAACAGAUUGCAGGAACAAAUGUUCCACUACAGAUCGCUAACAGAAACUGCUGAACCUACCCCUUUCCUUACAGAAGGGGCAAGUAGCUAACCCUAUGGUGCGAGUGAUCAGAUCAGUACUGUGACACUUCCAUUUGCUAUUUCAAAUUUGGACUGGAGUUGGAUCCAUAAUCUCCCCACCAAUCUCUAAUCCUCAAGAUCAGCCUGCAAGGUGUCUUUUAUAUAGGGGCCCACAAAGGAGAUUCCUAAUGGGAACACUGGACUGUUCCACAGAGAGCAACCCUUCACAAGUCCUCUUCAUGAACCAAGGGACAUAUACAUUGUUUUAGUGUUCUUCCUGCCUCUCACCCAGAAACAAUAGUCUCAGAAGGUAACAAACUGAAGUGCAGUACCGCAACAGAUGAUUGACUCAGGUUACACAGGUCAAAAACUGUAGAAUCAAUGGUUCUAGACCUAAAAAACAGCAACGCUGAUUUGAAACACUUGGUUAUGGGGUUGCUAAACAGCAACAGGUCAGUUAAAUUCACUUCCAAGCAUCUGUUAAGCUCAGUGAAAACAUCUUAGCAUUUACAGUCUCUCACAAGACAUUCUGUACUUUGUUUGCAUUCCGCACAAAGUUGACCUGUAGCUGCCCAGCACCAAAUCAAACAGUGCGGCGCAUGAAGAAGUCCUCUCCUCAUGAAACUUUGGGCAAACCAAUCACAGGUCCUCAGUAUGGUGUCAUCUUCCUACUGAAUGUGCCUGGAUCUAUUCAGAGACAGGGAUUUGCUCAUGCUGAAAGUCUCUGUGAUGCUCAGGGGAUGCUUGGUCUCUGUGUAUCUCUGAGUCAGGACCCACUGCUGUGAACAAAAAGUACACUAGGUUUUGUUUUUCAGUGACUUGCUGAACAAGUGCUGACAGUCGAAGUGAUGAUCAGUGAUAUGUUUUGCCAACGAGCCAGUGAGGGAUUCUGCUUGCAGAAAGACCAGCGGGGCUUUAAGAGCACAAUAUGCAUGACUGCAUCUUUUCCUCCAACGCAUCAUCCCUAACAGUGGGAAAGAGUGGCUCUCCCCAAGUGUGCUCGGUGGAGCUUCCAGUUCCCUGGGAUUUUGGAAGGGCUUCUGUGCAAGAGCAGCUCCAGCAUCUGCCACAUAGAGCGGGCUGAGCAGUGGCCGAGAGCUAAGAAGAAAUAGGUUUCCAGCACAGAGACUACAGCCUCUGCUUCAGAGACUUUAAUUGCCCUUCCAAUGCUUCUUCAAAAUAGCAACAAAUAUUUUAAAAUGACACAUGAAAAGGAUGGAUGGGGAUCAACUUUCUGCCUUCACUAUCAUUGCAGAAAUGAGGGUGCAUCAGAUGAAGCUGGCAGUAGUCAAGUAUAUCGUAUAAUAAAUAGUAUAAUAAAUUGUAUUAUUUUAUGUGUA